rnacentral:lncRNA from 1 species
UAAUGCAUUUAUUUCAUAAAUGAGAAAAUGCGCUAAAAACGGCAGUUAGAUGUAUUUGAAUGAGCCUAGGGUUUAGUAGAUGGAAGGUAGAUUGUAAACAGAACAUAGAUUCGCACGAAAAUAUAUAUAAGCAUGUGGACAAGAGUGCAGAAACUGUGCGUUUUGCGAGCUAAACAUCAACAAACACUAAAACGAUCAACGAGCAAAAUUUUUCCACUCUUUAAAAGUUGAUACAAUAGGUAAUAUUUACACUAAAAACAAAUAUUAUGUAGGUCUAAUUUUUUCCAAUAAUAAUUAUUUUCAAAGCACUAGCUAUAUAUGCAGUUGAAAAAUUACACUCUGACUUUGUUUAAGUGUGAAUGUAAUCAUUAAAAUGAAGAAAUUCUUUAUAAACCAAGCAACGGCAAAUCGAGGUUUAAUGGCGGUUAUAACGUAAGCUAUACAAGAAAGAAACACGUACAUGUACAUAAAUCAACGCAAGACGGGCCAUAUUUAAUUGCUGUCGAAAAUAGUAUAGUUUUAAGUUUGUCGUUAAAUGUUAACUUUAAGCUUGCAUAGAGGUCGAUUAAUAACUGGACUUAAAACUAUAAUUUUCGUUUUAUAAUGCAUUUCAGUACUACGUUACAUUCAAACUACAUAAUUGCCUGGCACCACCUUAGCGAUUUUGAGGUAUUAGAGGCUUGCGGUUUCUGGAUUCCCUUUGAAUGGAACCAAACUUCAAGCCGAUAGACUAACUAUCCACAGUCUUCUCUAGCACCUCAUCCUGUGACCAGUUCCUCCUGCGGCCGUCGAUUUGUUGUCAGUAUCCCAGGACGCUAUGACCGGAGUUACGGUACUGCUUCUUCGUCGCACGUGAUGGGAGCCAUGAGGUGCUAAGAUCUCCACGUCCGCAUGUUCUCCUGAGCCCCAGUUGGACCACUUACCUGCUUCAGCCGACUGCACCAGCUUCAGUCUUUUAUGAAACCACUGAACGAAAAUGCUGGGGGUAAAUGGCUGCAGAUCUGGCACGUCACGCUUUGGUGGGGAACUUCCUUGACCCUAUCCGUUCUCGCAGCCCGGCCAAUCUUCAUAUGCCUAUGCAAUAAUAUACGUUGCAAUUAACUUAAUUAAUAAAGAAAAGAAAAAUUUGGGAAACUUAA